rnacentral:sRNA from 2 species
GCUUGGGAUAUAUAUAUGUGAAGAAAGAAUACUUCUUAUAUCAUUCAUCCUCUGACCCAUCCUCCCAUUAACUUCGUCAAGUAUACGUACAACAUAACAUCAUGGAGACUAGUAGUAGGUAACAAAACUCAAACAAAUGAAUCAGGAAUGACGAUAACACCAAGGAAGCACAAUAGCAAAGGAGAACUUGAAUUUGACAUCGGCACAUGCUUCCAACCACCGGAGUCGACUGUGUCGUUGAAACAUGAUCGUAUCGCUUAAAAAGAAAUUGCAUUAAAGAGAGGUAUUGACGAAAAAUUCACCGAAUGAAGAAAAUUCAUGAGAUGUUAUAUGGAAAGGCGGUUAGGACGAUUUGUCCGUCGCGAAAGGAACUGCGCUGUGUAUAAAUACGGCACAGUGAUUUGAACCACUAGGAAAUCAGCGUGGUUGGGGGUGGGGUUGACGGUACAGGGUGGACCAUCUUUUCCAUCUCCUUUUCGAUGUUAGCGAACAGCGCCUGCAAUUCGGCAUCUGCAUAUAUCUUAAUUGACUCUACCUCCCGGCGGUUAACAAAUGGUGGAGUCCCCGCCCUUGGAGGACUCGGGGGGCUUCGGAAAGGUGUCAGGUCAUCUGCUAGAGCCUCGCCUUCACACUGUGGGGUCCAUAGCGUCAUUGUGCCGGCCAUGUGCUCAAGCAACUUCUGUCGAAUACGAAUCCUUCUAUUUUCAGCAAGGUCCAGCUUGUAGGCCCAUUCGUCAAUGGACUGGUCAAGUUCGGAGAGGGCUUCUUCUUGCUUCAGGAUGCCUUCCCUUGAGAAUUUGGAGACCCGGGGUGACUUGAGGUACGAGAUCAUUCGUGUGUGCAGCCCUCGACGUCCGGAUCGCAAAGACUUGUAGGUUUUGCGGAGAUAAUCGCACCUUUUAUCGAGCGCUCGCAAUUCCUUAUCCAACCUCAGUAACUUGAAAUAAAUACAGGGACAAAGCUCCAAUAUUGCAAAAUCAAAGAAAACUUACCCUAGAAAGUGAUCUGACUUCUGCGUACUUGAGUAUCUCAAAACGUUUGGCCUGUUCCCACGCUUGGAUUUUCACCCUCUCGAUUUCAUCCUGUGGAAGCAAUUUCGAGGCAGUGUGCGCUGGGAUCCCGGCCGGUAGGAUCAGGAAUGGAUGGUCUGAAGGUUCCUUAUUGGGCUUAGGUACCUCGGCACUCUGUACUGGAGAUUUAUUCCUUGGGGGUGUCUCUGUGAUUGAAUUUUGAGAGAAGUCUGGCUUGUUACCUAGCGGCAUUGAACCCUUCCUUUGCAGCAUGGGCGGUGGUGUGAUUGCGCUGCGAUACGUUUGGCAUACUGCGACACUUCUGUUCCUCGAAUGGCUGCGAGUGCCUCUACCUUCCAGUGGGGACGGCGAACCCGAUGGGGCUGCGGAUAGUCCCAAGUCAAAUGAUCCCGACUGUGUUUCAGCGUUCCUGUCGUGUAAGGGAAAUAUGAAGCUCUGUGCCGAACACUUCUCAGCUGAGAUACUGCUCGUUGGAGCAGCCAACGUUGUAACAGAGGAGUUUGAGCUGGCACUGGAAAAACUGAUCGUUGGCUGGGUAGUUGGGAUUCGGAGACCAAGUCUAGGCGAUUUUGGUGGUACUUCGGGUGGCUGGUCAUUUUCCAGUUUGUUUUGUUCCAGACCUGCAAUGGGCAAAUUACUUUUGGAAGAUCCAACCACGUUUGCAGCAAAUUGAUAUGUUUCCAGCGUAUCAGGAAGCAGUAUUGAGGAUGCCCUUUUUAUUGACUUAUGUCUAUCGUCUUCCAUGGGUGAAGGACCAAGCACGUUUCCAAAUGACUCCCUCGACAAACUUGGUGGCUCGCCAACUGGAUCAAGGGCAGAAUCUUGACACGUUGGUUGGCUCGACGAUACUCCAGGCGCGCUAUUUGACCGCUCAUGAGUAGGAAAUUUACCUGGUAUUGUUGCUAUAGGAAAGUUAGCGGUAACGACUGCAAUUAGGGAUAUUAGAGGCACACUUACGCGAAUCUAUGUUCUUUUCCUGGACGGUCGUCAUAGGCCCUAAUUCUGGAACACUAAUUUUACGACGCCGACAAAGCGUUCCACGCUCCUUAAACUGGUUCUUCAGAUCGCUCAGAUCUGGCGUGCAUCGUCCAGAUGCCAUCCCUGGCUUCUUCCAGAUGGGCCAGAGCUGGUACCUUUGGCGUUCAAUGGGUGUUUGCCUGUCUGAUACUCCAACAUUCAAGCUACAGGGAGUCUUCUCACUGGGCUGCUAGUUGGGUCAGUGGCGGUUAAGAUUCCUCUGAAAUAUAGUGAGCAGUUCUUGAAUAACUCACAACCGGGGAGCAACAGUUUCUGGCGAUGCCAACAUGUGCGACAAGUUCCUGGACCUUCUGUUCAACCGCAAGCAUCAUUAUUUCUCUCAGAUGUUAUGAAAGCAAAUUGGCAUUGGUCUCGGCUCUUGCGAUUGGGAUAGAGGCCUGGUUUCUCUCCUUCUGGUAGGCUCGUUUUCGGGACCUAUAAAUGUCGAUGGCAACGAAUUCAGGGAAUAAUAUAUGUCCCUUCGUUACGGGAUAGAGCUGCUCUUAUCGGCAUCUAAAACGCCAUCCUUGAGCCCCAGCACCGAGUAAACCUGCCUGAGUUGUGGGUAUUCUCUAACUUCAUGAUCGGGACAAAAUGACUCUAGUCCACCAUACUAGUAAGGAUCCGGGGUUGAGCCGUGAAUAUGCUGCAACCCAUGAAACGACAUCCAUGUCUGUAAGAUGGAUAAACUUUAUUCGAGUCCAAAUUGUGGGGUCGAAGUACCUGGCCAUGUACUCUCUGUGUACUUGGGCUGAGGUAUCAUGAGGCUAAGUUAGAAGAAACCAGGAAGGGCACCUCCCUGCAUCCUUUGAUUCUCGGCUCCCCUCAAUCAUAUCCAAAUCGUCAAUCGACUGUAGCUCAAUUCAGCCAAUAUAUAUUAGUUAUCAUGUUAAAGUAGGCAAAAGUGUCAGCGUUGAUAAGUUUCUUACGCCAACGUCAAACUAAACAAGUAUUGACCCACCAACCUAAGACGACGACCAAUUUUGUGGCUCAUUCCCCAAUGGCCCGUUCUCCCUGAGGCUAGAAGACUCCCCAAACCCUUUAUCCAUUCUUUGGCUGUUGCUAGUUCUACUACCCUCAGGUGAAAGUCAAACCAAAUUCUCUGACGCCGCAAAACAGUCAAUCCAUCCAUAUGAUUUUGGAUUCUAGAAAUUCGGUGAAUCAAUCAGAGGUCCCAGCAUAAAACUGGUUGCGACUGAAGUUUGCUUCCUGGAAACUCAUUUGAAAUUCUAGUAAGCCUGGCAAGCUAGUUGGUAGUUAGUUCGAUCACAUUCCUCUCAGCCUCACACUCACGCCUAUGGGCGUUGCGGCAAAAUCACCGCCGUAUAUGAUGACACAGGAAUGCUGAAACGGGAAAAACUGAUUGGACAAGUGAAAUAUCUGCUGGAGAUUAUCGGAGAUAGUAAAAUUGCUAGGAAGGAAGACCCCAACCAAGCCAGGCGUCGUUGGAUGAUAAAGCACAACAAGAAUGCAAGAUGCGCUAACACUCAAAUCUGAUGGUUAUAUGGCCCAAUGCGAAUGAUAUGGGGCGCAUGGGAGUAAAUGGCUCAGGAUGCUUUACAACAGCGUGUCUUGCUCGAACGCGAAGGUCCACCAGUUCACGGUCUCUUGAAGCAAAUGCUGG